rnacentral:lncRNA from 1 species
CCUUUAUUAAUGUUCUUUUUUAUUGGACUAAAAUUACUUUUUUCAAAUCAUUUCUCUUACAAUUACAUUUCUCAAUUUCUUUGUUCAUUGUAUUGGACAAUGAAGUAGUGAUUGUUGUGGGUUGGCAUUUUUGGUGAUUGUUUGAUGAUUUGAAUUUCGUCAAAACAAUGUGUUGGAGUUAUGGUGGUUGUGGUUGGAUAUUAAUACAGUAUUGGGUGGUGGGUUUUUUGUUUCUGAUGGAUGUUAAGUGUGGAUAUUGCUUGGUAUUUCUUUUGGUUUGUUCGACGAUUCGGCGAUUUGAAAGUAGUCAAAACAGUGGUUGUUGGAGUUGUAGUGGUUGUGGUUGGAUGCCAAUUGAGGAUUGGAGAUUUGAGGGCCACAAUGAUGGAGUUGUAGUUGUUGUUUGUUUCUUCCAUUUUGAACGGAGAUGACCUGGUCUAAUAAAUGUAUCAAAAUGUAAUUUUACAAAAAAUUGAUAGAUCAUUUGUUAUUGUGGACGUUAGAGAUGGAAAGCUGUCUCUCUGUAGGUGCACGUUAGCAGCUUCACUGACAUACACACGCCAUGGGAAGAAGGGUCAAAACAUCAAUUCCACCUAAAAGAUCUGUAUGAAUCACUUUAGAGAAGGUUGAAAGUUUGGUGGUGGUACAGUAAUAAUAGUUGGGAGGAGUGUAGUGAUGAAAAAUAAUGAAAUAGUAACAAAGGUGAUGAGUCUAGUAGAAACUGAAAUGAACCCAGUAAUUGGGGAGGUGGGAUUAACUAAAGAUAUAGGUAAUUCGGUGAGCUUAGGUCCAAUUUUUGGUGGUGUCGAAGUUAGAUGUAUCAAAUUUAAGUCAAAAGCAACAUUAGAGAAGGAAAUCGUUCAGGAAUGGAAGGAUAUCAUUGCAUCACCUCAUUAGUGGGCUGAUGAGGUCGAACCUUCAACUAUGAAUCCUGAAAUCGAUCAAAUUACUUCUCCUAGGGAAUCAAUUUUGGACCAGUUUGAUGUCUCUAUGCUUAAAAAUUCAGAGCUUAAGCUGGAUUAUGUCAAACUUCAUAAGGCAUAGAGAUAUCUAUGGUGGACAUUGAAUAUGACGAUAUUAGCUCAGAGGUGGAGUACAUAAGGAAUUUUGUG